rnacentral:rRNA from 1 species
GGACUACCCGGGUUUCUAAUCCUGUUUGAUCCCCACGCUGUCGCGCCUGAGCGUCAGAAACGGGCCAGUGAGCCGCCUUCGCCACCGGUGUUCUUCCCAAUAUCUACGAAUUUCACCUCUACACUGGGAAUUCCACUCACCUCUCCCGUACUCAAGCCAGUCAGUUUCAAAGGCAAUUCCAGAGUUGAGCUCUGGGCUUUCACCUCUGACUUGAAUGGCCGCCUGCGCGCGCUUUACGCCCAGUAAUUCCGAACAACGCUAGCCCCCUUCGUAUUACCGCGGCGGCUGGCAC